CCUACGGGUGGCAGCAGUGAGGAAUAUUGGUCAAUGGGCGAGAGCCUGAACCAGCCAAGUCGCGUGAGGGAGUACUGCCCUAUGGGUUGUAAACCUCUUUUGUCGGGGAGCAAAAGCCGGACGUGUUCGGCUGUGAGAGUACCCGAAGAAAAAGCAUCGGCUAACUCCGUGCCAGCAGCCGCGGUAAUACGGAGGAUGCGAGCGUUAUCCGGAUUUAUUGGGUUUAAAGGGUGCGCAGGCGGAUUUUUAAGUCAGCGGUAAAAUCGUGGGGCUCAACCCCAUCCAGCCGUUGAAACUGGGGAUCUAGAGUGUGCGAGAGGUAUGCGGAAUGCGUGGUGUAGCGGUGAAAUGCAUAGAUAUCACGCAGAACCCCGAUUGCGAAGGCAGCAUACCGGUGCACAACUGACGCUCAGGCACGAAAGCGUGGGUAUCGAACAGGAUUAGAUACCCCUGUAGUC
rnacentral:rRNA from 1 species